AAUCGAACCCGGAGAUAGCUGGUUCUCCUCGAAAUAGCUUUAGGGCUAGCCUCAUAUUAGUUUAGCGGAGGUAGAGCACUGAAUUCCUAAGGGGGCGUCAAAGCUUACCAAGGGAUAUCAAACUCCGAAUGCCGUAUAAAUGAUGUAUGGGAGUCAGACUGCACGAGAUAAGUUGGGUAGUCAAAAGGGAAAGAGCCCAGACCUACAGCUAAGGUCCCAAAGUGUGUGUUAAGUGGAAAAGGAUGUGGGAUUUCAGAGACAACUAGGAUGUUGGCUUAGAAGCAGCCACACAUUCAAAGAGUGCGUAAUAGCUCACUAGUCGAGAGGUCCUGCGCCGAAAAUGUCCGGGGCUAAAACACAACACCGAAGCUUAGGAAUCACUUUAAGUGAUUGGUAGAGGAGCAUUCUUAAAGGAACGAAGCAGUACCGACAAGGAGCUGUGGACUUUUAAGAAGAGAGAAUGCCGGAAUGAGUAGCGAGAUGGAGGUGAGAAUCCUCCAGGCCGAAUAUCCAAGGUUUCCAGAGUAAAGCUGAUCUGCUCUGGGUAAGUCGGGGCCUAAGGCGAGGACGAGAGUCGUAGCCGAUGGACAACAGGUGGAGAUUCCUGUACUGCGGUAUGACAGAACUGUGGGGACACGUAAGGAAAGCGGAAGCCGGGAAUGGAAAGCCCGGUGCAAGCGGGGUACCAGUCACUUUGGCAAAUCCGGGUGGCAAUGGGAAGCCGUGAUGCGGAGCGAAAUAAAGUAGCGAAGUCCGUGAGCCAUGCGUCAAGAAAAGCCGCUAUCGUUUAUACCGUACCCGUACCGUAAACCGACACAGGUGGAUGAGGAGAGAAUCCUAAGGCCGGCGGAAGAAGCAUUGUCAAGGAACUCGGCAAAAUGGCCCCGUAACUUAGGGAUAAGGGGUGCCUGGGAAACCAGGCCGCAGAGAAUAGGCUCAAGCAACUGUUUAGCAAAAACACAGGUCUAUGCGAAACCGAAAGGUGAGGUAUAUGGGCUGACGCCUGCCCGGUGCUGGAAGGUUAAGAGGAGAGGUUAGCGCAAGCGAAGCUUUGAAUUUAAGCCCCAGUAAACGGCGGCCGUAACUAUAACGGUCCUAAGGUAGCGAAAUUCCUUGUCGGGUAAGUUCCGACCCGCACGAAAGGCGUAAUGAUUUGGGCACUGUCUCAACAACACACCCGGUGAAAUUGAAAUACCAGUGAAGAUGCUGGUUACCUGCGCCAGGACGGAAAGACCCCAUGGAGCUUUACUCCAGUCUGGUACUGGGACUCGGUAUUGCAUGUACAGGAUAGGUGGGAGGCUAGGAGAUGGUAACGCCAGUUGCCAUGGAGCCGCUGUUGGGAUACCACCCUUGCAGUAUUGGGUUUCUAACCAGCCGCCGUGACCCGGCGGUGGGACAAUGCCAGACGGGGAGUUUGACUGGGGCGGUCGCCUCCGAAAGGGUAUCGGAGGCGCCCAAAGGUUCCCUCAGAAUGGACGGAAACCAUUCGAAGAGUGCAAAGGCAGAAGGGAGCUUGACUGCGACACCGACGGGUGGAGCAGGUACGAAAGUAGGGCUUAGUGAUCCGGUGGUAUUAAGUGGGAAUGCCAUCGCUCAACGGAUAAAAGCUACCCUGGGGAUAACAGGCUUAUCACUCCCAAGAGUUCACAUCGACGGAGUGGUUUGGCACCUCGAUGUCGGCUCAUCGCAUCCUGGGGCUGUAGUAGGUCCCAAGGGUUGGGCUGUUCGCCCAUUAAAGCGGUACGCGAGCUGGGUUCAGAACGUCGUGAGACAGUUCGGUCCCUAUCCGGCGUGGGCGUAGGAUAUCUGAGAGGAGCUGUCCUUAGUACGAGAGGACCGGGAUGGACGGGCCGCUGGUGCAUCGGUUAGACUGCCAAGUCUACGGCCGAGUAGCCAAGCCCGGAAGGGAUAAACGCUGAAGGCAUCUAAGCGUGAAGCCCCCCUUAAGAUGAGAUAUCCCAUUCGAAAGAAGUAAACCCCCUUGA
rnacentral:rRNA from 1 species